CGCAUCUGUGCAUGCAGCAUAUCAAUAAGCGGAGGAAAAGGAGUAUACCUACGCUUAGGAUGUUGACGCGCGUGUGUGCGUGAGUCUAUACAUGACUCUGUGCAUAUCAAUAAGCGGAGGAAAAGAAACUAACAAGGAUUCCCUUAGUAACGGCGAGUGAAGGCGGGAAGAGCUCAAAUUUGAAAUCUUCAAGGUUUUACCUUGACGAAUUGUAGUUUAAAGAAGUGUUUUCUGUUGAAGUUUUGGUAAAAGUUCUUUGGAAUAGGACAUCAUAGAGGGUGAGAAUCCCGUAUUUGACCAUUAUUUUCAGCUGUGUGAUACACUUUCAAAGAGUCGGAUUGUUUGGGAAUGCAGUCCAAAAUGGGUGGUAAAUUUCAUCUAAAGCUAAAUAUUGGCGAGAGACCGAUAGCGAACAAGUACCGUGAGGGAAAGAUGAAAAGAACUUUGAAAAGAGAGUUAAACAGUACGUGAAAUUGUCAAAAGGGAACGUUUGACACCAGUGUUGUUUUCUCGAAAAUCAAUUAAAAAGAGUUAGAUUUUGUGUUGUAUUGACCUUAACAGCUUGCAUUUCACUCUUUCUCUGCUUUUUUUAAUGCACUUUUCGGUUAACAAGUCAACAUCAGUUUCUUUUGUUGUAAAAGGUCAUUGGAAGGUGGCUUUCUCUUCGGAGAAAGUGUUUAUAGCCUUUGAUCUCUGCAAUCGGAGAGACUGAGGUCUGCAGCGUAGAUCCUUCGGGGUUAGAUACAUUUGUGCUAAGCUACAGCUUUUCAUAGACAACUUGUUGACUAUGUUUAGUCUUGUGACUUACCCGCUUAUGCUAUUUUACCUACGCUUAGGAUGUUGACGCGCGUGUGUGCGUG
rnacentral:rRNA from 1 species